ensembl:lncRNA LINC02955 long intergenic non-protein coding RNA 2955
UGGUAUUUCGUUAUGGCAGCCUGAGCAGAGGUGGUAGCUAUGUGGACAGUUUUUGGACUUCUCUAUUGAGGAGGGAACAGAGAGAGGGCAGGAGGAAGAGUGGGGAAGAAACUCAUACACUGUUUACAGCAUGUCAAAGACAAAUGAGGAGGGAUCCAAGAGGACUUCUUGGAAGAAGAGGACCACCUGCAUCUUGACCUCUGCCUGGAUGCUUGCUGCACGACAGAAUCCAUAAGGUCUCUGGGUUGCUUUUAUAGUAAAGUGUGCCAAGAGAUUUCUUGCCAGAACAGCAGUAAUAAAUACCAUUCAUCAAGAGGUUGUUGUGUACGAGCAUAUUGCUGGUACACAAUUUAUGACCCACAAAAAAACCUUCUGUGGUAGACAUGAUGUUCUGUUUUGUAGAGAUGAGAAACCUGAUGCUUUGUGAAGCUAAGUUACUCUUGGUGACCAACCUGUAAAUGGCGAAGGAGAUCACUCUGUUCUAGGGCUGCUGAAGUAAACUUCAUCCACUUUCUACUAUGCCAGGCCACAGAGUUUACAGGGUAGGAGGAAAAAGACCUGGUCAUUUUUAAAGAUAUGCCAAUUAUAUCAAAGUAAUGAAACUAAAACUGAGACAAAAUAGGCAAUCCAG